CUUAACACAUGCAAGUCGAGGGGCAGCAUGGUCUUAGCUUGCUAAGACUGAUGGCGACCGGCGCACGGGUGAGUAACACGUAUCCAACCUGCCGUCUACUCUUGGACAGCCUUCUGAAAGGAAGAUUAAUACAAGAUGGCAUCAUGAGUCCACAUGUUCAUAUGAUUAGAGGUAUUCCGGUAGACGAUGGGGAUGCGUUCCAUUAGAUAGUAGGCGGGGUAACGGCCCACCUAGUCUUCGAUGGAUAGGGGUUCUGAGAGGAAGGUCCCCCACAUUGGAACUGAGACACGGUCCAAACUCCUACGGGAGGCAGCAGUGAGGAAUAUUGGUCAAUGGGCGAGAGCCUGAACCAGCCAAGUAGCGUGAAGGAUGACUGCCCUAUGGGUUGUAAACUUCUUUUAUAAAGGAAUAAAGUCGGGUAUGCAUACCCGUUUGCAUGUACUUUAUGAAUAAGGAUCGGCUAACUCCGUGCCAGCAGCCGCGGUAAUACGGAGGAUCCGAGCGUUAUCCGGAUUUAUUGGGUUUAAAGGGAGCGUAGAUGGAUGUUUAAGUCAGUUGUGAAAGUUUGCGGCUCAACCGUAAAAUUGCAGUUGAUACUGGAUAUCUUGAGUGCAGUUGAGGCAGGCGGAAUUCGUGGUGUAGCGGUGAAAUGCUUAGAUAUCACGAAGAACUCCGAUUGCGAAGGCAGCCUGCUAAG
rnacentral:rRNA from 1 species